AGAGUUUGAUCCUGGCUCAGGACAAACGCUGGCGGCGUGCUUAAUACAUGCAAGUCGAACGGUAGCACUUCGGUGUUAUAGUGGCGGACGGGUGAGUAACACGUAGAUAACCUGCCCUGAAGUGGGGAAUAACAGCCCGAAAGGGUUGCUAAUACCGCAUAAUCUCGUUUUUGUUAGGAGACGAGGAAACGGCGCAAGCCGGCUAUAGGAGGGGUCUGCGGCGGAUUAGCUAGAUGGUGGGGUAAAGGCCUACCAUGGCGACGAUCCGUAGCUGGUCUGAGAGGACGGCCAGCCACACUGGGACUGAGAUACGGCCCAGACUCCUACGGGAGGCAGCAGUAAGGAAUAUUCCACAAUGGGCGAAAGCCUGAUGGAGCGACGCCGCGUGCGGGACGAAGCCUUUCGGGGUGUAAACCGCUUUUAGAGGGGAUGAAACGAUGGGGUAACCCAUCUAAGACAGUACCUUCUGAAUAAGCAUCGGCUAACUACGUGCCAGCAGCCGCGGUAAUACGUAGGAUGCGAGCGUUGUCCGGAUUUACUGGGCGUAAAGAGCGCGCAGGCGGCACGGUAAGUAAGGUGUGAAAUCUCCCUGCUCAACGGGGAGGGUGCACCAUAGACUGCCGAGCUAGAGGGCGGUAGAGGGUGGUGGAAUUGCUGGUGUAGCGGUGAAAUGCGUAGAGAUCAGCAGGAACACCCGUGGCGAAGGCGGCCACCUGGGCCGCACCUGACGCUGAGGCGCGAAGGCUAGGGGAGCGAACGGGAUUAGAUACCCCGGUAGUCCUAGCAGUAAACGAUGUCCACUAGUGUG
rnacentral:rRNA from 1 species